CCUACGGGAGGCAGCAGUGGGGAAUAUUGGGCAAUGGGCGCAAGCCUGACCCAGCAACGCCGCGUGAAGGAAGAAGGCUCUCGGGUUGUAAACUUCUUUUCUCAGGGACGAAGCAAGUGACGGUACCUGAGGAAUAAGCCACGGCUAACUACGUGCCAGCAGCUGCGGUUAUACGUAGGUGGCAAGUGUUAUCCCGAUUUACUGGGUGUAAAGGGCGUGUAGGCGGGACUGCAAGUCAGAUGUGAAAACCACGGGCUCAAACUGUGGCCUGCAGUUGAAACUGUAGUUCUUGAGUACUGGAGAGGCAGACGGAAUUCCUAGUGUAGCGGUGAAAUGCGUAGAUAUUAGGAGGAACACCAGUGGCGAAGGCGGUCUGCUGGACAGCAACUGACGCUGAGGCGCGAAAGCGUGGGGAGCGAACAGGAUUAGAUACCCCGGUAGUC
rnacentral:rRNA from 1 species